rnacentral:tRNA from 1 species
GACCGCGUAGCUCAGUUGGAAGAGCAUUGGGCUAGUAUUCCAAAGGUCGUGGGUUCGAAUCCCGCCGUGGCCA